rnacentral:tRNA from 1 species
UAGGGAGACCUACCCAUUGAGGAAUCGAAAGCCAUAGGCGAAUAGAGAAUCAACUGGUCUACUCUAGGUCGGUGACGAGAGAUGGUGAAGUCUUUCAAACUAAUAUUGGUUCGCGAGAGGGCUAUUAGCUCAGGUGGUUAGAGCGCACCCCUGAUAAGGGUGAGGUCCCUGGUUCGAGUCCAGGAUGGCCCACCUGAGAGUGAUUAGUAGAAACUAUUAAUGAACUAGUAGUAAACUAUUAAUUACAUGGGGGUUUAGCUCAGCUGGUAGAGCGCCUGCUUUGCAAGCAGGAUGUCAGCGGUUCGAGUCCGCUAACCUCCACAUUAGGGAGAAACUAGCAACUAGGGAAGACCUAGACUGCUGGUGGAAACCAGCCAGAACCUUGAAAACUGCAUAUAGAUAGAUAAGAGAGCAGAAACCGAAAUCGAAAGAUAGAAGUGGAAGUAAGUGAAGAAUCAAGU